CAUGAUUUGACCAUGAGUGUUAGUGGAGAAGAUACAUGUUUAUAAGAUUAAGAUAGUAAAAAUGAGAAUGUUAAGAUUGAUGUAUAGGGAUAAAGGAUGGGCAAGAUAAGAAAUGAAUGCAUCUUCUGGAGGGUGGAAGUGACACCUCGAUGAAAAUUUAAGUCAGAGAUAAUUUCAAUGUGUGCAAUGUAAAUCAGCAAAUGCACCACUAGCAAAG
rnacentral:misc_RNA from 1 species